GACCAGACUCCUACGGGAGGCAGCAGUGGGGGAUAUUGCACAAUGGGGGGAACCCUGAUGCAGCGACGCCGCGUGGGUGAAGGAGCGUUUCGGCGCGUAAAGCCCUAUCGGCAGGGAAGAAGGAGGACGGUACCUGACUAAGAAGCCCCGGCUAACUACGUGCCAGCAGCCGCGGUAAUACGUAGGGGGCAAGCGUUAUCCGGAUUUACUGGGUGUAAAGGGAGCGUAGACGGCCAGACAAGUCAGAAGUGAAAGCCCAGGGCUCAACUCUGGGACUGCUUUUGAAACUGCCGGGCUGGAGUGCAGGAGAGGUAAGCGGAAUUCCUAGUGUAGCGGUGAAAUGCGUAGAUAUCAGGAGGAACACCGGCGGCGAAGGCGGCCUGCUGGACCGUGACUGACGUUGAGGCUCGAGAGCGUGGGGAGCAAACAGGAUUAGAUACCCUCGUAUGA
rnacentral:rRNA from 1 species